rnacentral:rRNA from 1 species
CCCAGACAGCCAGGAUGUUGGCUUAGAAGCAGCCAUCAUUUAAAGAAAGCGUAAUAGCUCACUGGUCGAGUCGGCCUGCGCGGAAGAUGUAACGGGGCUAAACCAUGCACCGAAGCUGCGGCAGCGAACGUAUCACUUAAAGCGAUUCAGCGGGUUACGAUUGACGGAGCGAAGCGACGUCAAAGCGUAUACAAAGUCGAGUCGGUUUAAGGAUACGUUCGUUGGGUAGGGGAGCGUUCUGUAAGCCUGUGAAGGUGGCCUGUGAGGGUUGCUGGAGGUAUCAGAAGUGCGAAUGCUGACAUAAGUAACGAUAAAGCGGGUGAAAAGCCCGCUCGCCGGAAGACCAAGGGUUCCUGUCCAACGUUAAUCGGGGCAGGGUGAGUCGACCCCUAAGGCGAGGCCGAAAGGCGUAGUCGAUGGGAAACAGGUUAAUAUUCCUGUACUUGGUGUUACUGCGAAGGGGGGACGGAGAAGGCUAUGUUGGCCGGGCGACGGUUGUCCCGGUUUAAGCGUGUAGGCUGGUUUUCCAGGCAAAUCCGGAAAAUCAAGGCUGAGGCGUGAUGACGAGGCACUACGGUGCUGAAGCAACAAAUGCCCUGCUUCCAGGAAAAGCCUCUAAGCAUCAGGUAACAUCAAAUCGUACCCCAAACCGACACAGGUGGUCAGGUAGAGAAUAC